UACGUAGGUGGCGAGCGUUGUCCGGAUUUAUUGGGCGUAAAGCGCGCGCAGGCGGUGCGGUAAGUCUGUCGUGAAAUCUCCCGGCUCAACUGGGAGGGUGCGGUGGAGACUGCCGGACUGGAGGCACUCAGAGGCCGGUGGAAUUCCCGGUGUAGUGGUGAAAUGCGUAGAUAUCGGGAGGAACACCAGUGGCGAAGGCGACUAUCUGGGCUGCAACUGACGCUGAGGCGCGAAGGCUAGGGUAGCAAACAGG
rnacentral:rRNA from 1 species